UGCCUGAGGAUUCAGUGCCUGGUGAGGACC
rnacentral:piRNA from 1 species